CUCUAUUUAGCAGAUCCCUUUCCUCCUCAUCCUCCUCCAUCCCAUUCGGCCUCCACCUCGCGAAGCAUCACGACGCCGCCGCCGACGUUCCUCUGCAUCGUGCAGUUAAAUCCCUAGCUAGUUCCCUGCUACCCACGUCAGGCGACCAAGCAGUGAGACUACAGUUUACCGGAGAGGUCAGCGGCGUCGCGACUCGUGCGAGACCUUCUGGCCGGCGUACCUAUCAAUGGCGGGAGUCGGGAGAGGUCUUAUAUGGCAGAUCUACGUCCAGCCAGAGGACGGAUGGACUCCGGCAGAGUUGGAACUUGGAACUGCGCGUGAGCGGAAUAUCUGACGAGGAGCUUGCCGAUGUCUAUGGCAGUCGAUCUAGAUGGCGGCCAGGUCAAGUUUGUUCUUUUGAGAAAAUUUGGUGAUUGUAGGACUAGGAACUUCCUACUGGUGUUGCUCAGCAGUCUAUGACAACGAGUUUGUUCCAGAUGGCGGUGAGGUGGCCUUUGUUCCUUUUUGAAAGUUCCUGAGAUCCUGUAUAGGUCUCUUGAUGUGAACCUUGUGAUUGGAAUGUCUUUCAAGGUCUGACCUUAUAUAGACUUUUGUUUAAACUGAUCGAUUUUUUGGAUGAACAUUACGAUUUCGCAACCAUUUGCCCAUUUUUAUCUAUGACUUGCUAGUUUUUUUUAAGGUGCUAGAUUUGAUCGUCACUCUUUGUGGAGAUGAAUCAUAUGAGCAGCUAGAUGUUGUCACGUAAUGUUCCAUAUGGUGAAGAGGAGACUGGUAAAGUACGUGCUAGGAGGUACUGUAUGUACAUAGUGAGUCAGUUGAAAAGCAGUGGCGGAUCUAUGAUCUCAAAACACUCUGGGGGUGCCGCGGUUAAUUUUUUUAAUGUAAUUUGGUCUAAAUGUAUCAUAGCUCCAAGUUAGCAUUAAGAUGUUAGAUAAGUAUUGUUAGGUAAGGUUUCUUUGCGCAACCCUUACAAUUCCAUGUCAUGUUUGUGUUGUUUCCUUCAAUUCCCUUUUUAUAUAGUUAUAUCUGAUGGAUAAGUCGGUGUACUAGGGUCCUUGUGGGGCUGCAGCACAUGGUCCUUGUGGCAGUUAGGAGGAUAAAGUCCUGGACCAUCAAGGACUGGCUGUUAGAAUAGAG